ACUAUCACUCUGUCUCACAAAAAGACUCAAAAAGUAAAAAUAAAAGAACUCCCACUGAUUAGUGAAAAUUCUCAAAGGGGGAGAUAAGGAAGGAGACCACUACUACUCCUGCUGCCCUCCUCUCCCCACCUUGCCUAGUUCGCAAGACAGGAGGAGAGAAAAACAAAAAGUUGGAAAAAAAACAAAAGUAAGAUAAACAGCCAGACAACCUUGGCACCACCACCCGGCCUUAGGAGUUAAAAAAAGUAAUAAUGAUAACCUCAACCCCUGACCUAAACUACUUGUGUUGUCUGUAAAUUUCAGACACUGUAUGAAAAAAAGCAUUGUAAAACUUUUUGUUCUGUUAGCUGAUGCAUAUAGCCCCCAGUCAUGUUUCCCAUGCUUGCUUGAUGUACCACGACCCUUACACGUGGACCCCUUAAAGUUGUAAACCUUUAAAAAGGCCAAGAAUUUCUUUUUCGGGGAGCUCGGCUCUUAAGACACGAGUCUGACAAUGCUCCUGGCCGAAUAAAAACCUCUUCCUUCUUUAAUUCAGUGUCUGAGGAGUUUUGUCUGUGGCUCGUCCUGCUACAAUAAAAGGUUAAAAAGAGUCUAUAAAAUCUUACCUUAUGGUCAAACAUUAAAAAUUAGAUAAAUAUGUCUACAAGGUUUUAUUAAAAUUAAGUUUAACAUUAAUAACACACUAAUAUAAAAAUAAAAUUUAGCUUAUCUGGUAUAAAAAUCACACGAGAAGCACUGUUAAGUGUAAAAUGGUAUUUGGCUUUCUUUGGUUUAAAAAGUAAUAAACAUUUUUCUCAGUAAAAAGGCACUAAGGAAUAUAAAGUCCACUGCCAAGGUCCCCACAUUUAAAACAAAGGUCAAUUUCUUUCUUUUUUUUUUUUUUUUUUUUGAGACAGAGUUUCACUCUUGUUGCCCAGGCUGGAGUGCAAUGGCGCAAUCUUGGCUUACGGCAACCUCCGCCUCCCGGGUUCAAGCAAUUCUCCUGCCUCAGCCUCCUGAGUAGCUGAGAUUACAGACAUGCACCACUAUGCCCAGCUAACUUUGUAUGUUUAGUAGAGAUGGGGUUUCUCCAUGUUGGUCAGGCUGGUCUCGAACUCCUGACCUCAGGUGAUCUGCCCACCUCAGCCUCCCAAAGUGCUGGGAUUACAGGCGUGAGCCACUGCGCCCGGCCCCAAAAGGUCAAUUUCUUAAAAAUUAUAUACUUCAUUUAUCUUCCACUUUCCUUUCUCUCAAAAACUAAAAGUCUUUUAGCACAUGUACCACUCCUAGAAUUUCCGGUAAACCAGCACCAGCCUGAAGAUCACAUUCUCAUCAAAGGGUGGAAA
rnacentral:lncRNA from 1 species